UGGGGAAUCUUGCGCAAUGGGCGAAAGCCUGACGCAGCAACGCCGCGUGGGGGACGAAGGCUCUCGGGUUGUAAACCCCUUUCAGGAGGGACGAAAUUGACGGUACCUCCAGAAGAAGCCCCGGCCAACUACGUGCCAGCAGCCGCGGUAACACGUAGGGGGCAAGCGUUGUCCGGAUUUAUUGGGCGUAAAGAGCUCGUAGGUGGCUCGGUAAGUCGGGUGUGAAAUUUCGAGGCUCAACCUCGAGACGCCACCUGAUACUGCUGUGGCUUGAGUCCGGUAGGGGAGCGUGGAAUUCCUGGUGUAGCGGUGAAAUGCGCAGAUAUCAGGAGGAACACCAGCGGCGAAGGCGGCGCUCUGGGCCGGUACUGACACUGAGGAGCGAAAGCGUGGGGAUCAAACAGG
rnacentral:rRNA from 1 species